rnacentral:rRNA from 1 species
AUUGAACGCUGGCGGCAUGCCUUACACAUGCAAGUCGAACGCGAAAGGGGGGCAACCCCCAAGUAGAGUGGCGAACGGGUGAGUAAUGCAUCGGAACGUGCCCAGUAGUGGGGGAUAACUUGCCGAAAGGUAAGCUAAUACCGCAUACGACCUACGGGUGAAAACGGGGAUUCGCAAGAACCUCGCGCUAUUGGAGCGGCCGAUGUCCGAUUAGCUAGUUGGUGGGGUAAAAGCCCACCAAGGCAACGAUCGGUAGCUGGUCUGAGAGGACGAUCAGCCACACUGGAACUGAGACACGGUCCAGACUCCUACGGGAGGCAGCAGUGGGGAAUUUGGACAAUGGGGGCAACCCUGAUCCAGCCAUGCCGCGUGAGUG